GAUCUGGUGGUGGAAUCUGUCACCCCACUGACCACGAGGGUUGAUCCAGCUGCUCUGGCUGUCUAGGAGGGGACCCCUUUC
rnacentral:sRNA from 1 species